rnacentral:lncRNA from 1 species
AUGGGUCAUGUCUUUGGGUACCCAUGAAUUAGAUUUUGGACAGAGAUCAUGAAACUAAUCAAAAGAUAAUUUGAUAUUUAUCAUAUGUAAGGUGGUGUCAAACAUAAGUGGAGGCAUGGUCUAUUAGCUUAUCAACACGAACCUACUACCUAACAAGGUUUCAUUUCUAUUUUGUUUUUAAGAAAAUACUAAUAUUUAAAUUUUUAGAGGGGAG